rnacentral:ncRNA from 1 species
GAUUUAUAUAGAAGUGGCGAGAGAACAGGCUCUGAAACCCACUGGCAACCCUCCAAAUGUGGAGAAGGUGCCAAUUCCUGACCCGGAAAUAAUUAACCCCGGGGCAUAUAAAUG